rnacentral:miRNA from 8 species
CCUCCAAAGGGAAACACUUUCUG